UUUGUUUAUGUGAUAAGGUCCGUCCGGGACAGGUUUUUUUAUAAUUGGACCCCGUAGGUGGCGCUGUUGUCGAGUUAGGAAAAUUUCAUAUUUUGACCAGACUGGGGGCCAAUUCUGGUUCUGUGAAAACGUGAAUCGAAAAAAAAAACUUUUUCAUUUUAGCUUUCAAACACUCUUUUCACUUUUUCGAUUCAUUUGAAACGAAAAACGAUUCUCAUCCUAUGAUAUCACAAAUAAUUUAGUGAAAAAAAUAUAUAUUUAUAUAUAUAUUUUUGAUGUUUGUUUUCAUUUUUUCACAGAACGAGAAUAAAAUGAGUGAACAAGUGAAAAGCUUUUCGUUUCACUUAUUCACAGAACCAGAAUUGGCCCCCUGGAGAGAUUUUUCUGAAAUUUGGUGGAUGUGAUAAGGUCCAUCCGAGACAGGUUUUGUUUCAUAAUUGGACCCGGUAGUUGGCGCUGAUGUCGAGUUAUAGAAAAAUUUCAUAUUUUGAACGAACGACUGAACAGAUUUUUGUGAAAUUUUGUUUAUGUGAUAAGGUCCGUCCGAGACAGGUUUUUUUUUAUAAUUGGACCCGGUAGGUGGCGCUGUUAUCGAGUUUUAGAAAAAUUGAAUAUUUUGACCAGACUGGAGAGAUUUUUGUGAAAUUUUGUGUGUGUGAUAUGGACCCAGUAGGUGUCGCUGUCAAGUUAUAGUUAAAUUCUAUAUUUGAAGUCCGAAUGACAGUAGAUAUAGAUUUUUAUGAAAUUUUGUGUGUGUGUGUGAUAAGGUUCGUUCGAGACAGGUUUUGUUUUAUAGUUGGACCUGGUAUGUUGUCAAGUUAUAAGCAAAUUCAAUAUUUGGGGUUCAAAAUCGCUCAUAUUCAAGGGUAAUAAAAACAAACAUGAAUUAACUCUUUAAAAUGUUAGUCCCGCAAAGAAAAUUGUUUACCAUCAGUAUAUCUCAAUUAAAUUUAUGACUGCAUCUUAAAAUUUGUUUAAGUUGUUUCAACUACCAUUAAUACAAUUUCCGCAUAAAAAUCAAAUGAUUUAUUUUUUUUUAAAGAAAUAUUUCGACGUAUGUAUGAAUAGAAUUAAGACGAAAUCUUUUCAUUUUUAAUCGUUUUCUUUUUAAGAUUUUAUCCUAUUGCUAUUGUUUCGGUUACUGGCUCCAACAUUACUCACACGGUAACGGUUAAGAAACGAACAAAUACAAACUACAAUGAAACCAAAAUCGGCCCUAGCGAGGUAUUCCGUCGGAGCGUAUUUUUUCCGAUUUUCUACGAAUCGGAGUCUUUUUGCUUCGAGGUAUUUCUCCGAUCGGCUGAUCGGAAAUUUUCUCCGACAAAUUUCAACGCAUGUCAUUGCAUGCGAUGAAGUACUUCUAAUUGUUGUAUUCUUGACAGAUACAAAUCAUUUUUUUUCCGAAGCCCUCCGACAAGUUUUUGUUGCGGAAUAAAUAAUUAAAAUGCAAAACGAAAAAACAUAAGUAUAUACAAAAAGAUCACCAAAAAUUGUGGAUAAAUUGGGAAGAUCUGCCCAAUCAGUUGAAUUGAAUUGGACCACGUCAAAGGGAUAUUGGUGAUUGGAAAAAAGGAUGUUCUUGACUAUUCAUAAGUCCAACAUAAAAUAAAACUAUCGAAAACAGACAAGAAAUCGCGGGCACUGGCGGGCGGGGGGCCUUACAGGCAAAAGUCUUUCACAAAUAAAUUUUCAUUCACUUUUUAAAAUAUUCCUUUUA